rnacentral:piRNA from 1 species
UAACAUAUAUGCCUAACAUUGCACCACCA